AAUGGAUGUUAAAAUUGCUUUUCUAAAUGGAGAUCUCGAUGAAGAAAUAUACAUGGAACAACCCAAGGGUCAUGUAGUUUCAGGUCAAGAAAGAAAAGUAUGUAGAUUGGUGAAGUCUUUGUGUGGACUUAAACAAGCACUAAAACAAUAGAAUGAGAAAAAAAAAUUUGUAUCAAGAUUCAAGUUGA